AGCCGGGGUUUCUUUACCAGGUACCGUCAUUAUCUUCCCUGGCGAAAGAGCUUUACGACCCUAGGGCCUUCGUCACUCACGCGGCAUGGCUAGAUCAGGGUUUCCCCCAUUGUCUAAGAUUCCC
rnacentral:rRNA from 1 species